UACGUAGGGUGCAAGCGUUGUCCGGAAUCAUUGGGCGUAAAGCGCGCGUAGGCGGCCCGGUAAGUCCGCUCUGAAAGUCCAGGGCUCAACCCUGGAAUGCGGGUGGAUACUGCCGGGCUAGAGUCCGGAAGAGGCGAGUGGAAUUCCUGGUGUAGCGGUGGAAUGCGCAGAUAUCAGGAGGAACACCAAUAGCGAAGGCAGCUCGCUGGGACGGUACUGACGCUAAGGCGCGAAAGCGUGGGGAGCGAACAGG
rnacentral:rRNA from 1 species